rnacentral:rRNA from 1 species
AAUCAACGCUGGCGGCGUGCCUCAGACAUGCAAGUCAAACGAUUAAGACUUCCUUCGGGAAGUGCAUAAAGUGGCGCACGGGUGAGUAACACGUAAGUAAUCUACCCUCGAGUGGGGAAUAACAGUCGGAAACGACUGCUAAUACCGCAUAAUGCAGCGGCACCGCAAGGUGACAGUUGUUAAAGGAGCAAUCCGCUUGAGGAGGAGCUUGCGGCAGAUUAGCUAGUUGGUAAGGUAACGGCUUACCAAGGCUACGAUCUGUUACCGGUCUAAGAGGACGGUCGGACACACUGACACUGAAUAACGGGGCAGACUCCUACGGGAGGCAGCAGUCGGGAAUUUUGGGCAAUGGGCGAAAGCCUGACCCAGCAACGCCGCGUGAAGGAUGAAGUAUUUCGGUAUGUACACUUCGAAAGAAUAGGAAGAAUAAAUGACGGUACUAUUUAUAAGCUCCGGCUAACUACGUGCCAGCCGCCGCAGUAAGAC